rnacentral:rRNA from 1 species
GUGGGGAAUCUUCCGCAAUGGACGAAAGUCUGACGGAGCAACGUCGCGUGAGUGAAGAAGGUUUUCGGAUCGUAAAGCUCUUUCGUUAGGGACGAACGUGCUCUUUGUGAAUAAUGAGGAGUAAUGACGGUACCUAAAUAAGAAGCCACGGCUAACUACGUGCCAGCAGCCGCGGUAAUACGUAGGUGGCAAGCGUUGUCCGGAAUUAUUGGGCGUAAAGCGCGCGCAGGCGGGAUAUCAAGUCUGUCUUAAAAGUGCGAGGCUCAACCUCGUGAGGGGACAGAAACUGGUAUUCUUGAGUGUCGGAGAGGAAAGUGGAAUUCCAAGUGUAGCGGUGAAAUGCGUAGAGAUUUGGAAGAACACCAGUGGCGAAGGCGACUUUCUGGACGAUGUCUGACGCUGAGGCGCGAAAGCUAGGGGAGCGAACGGGAUUAGAUACCCUUGUAGUCC